rnacentral:rRNA from 1 species
GAUGAACGCUGGCGGCGUGCCUAAUACAUGCAAGUCGAGCGAACAGAUAAGGAUCUUGCUCCUUUGACGUUAGCGGCGGACGGGUGAGUAACACGUGGGUAACCUACCCAUAAGACAGGGAUAACUUCGGGAAACCGGAGCUAAUACCGGAUAACAUUUGGAACCGCAUGGUUCUAAAGCGAAAGAUGGGUUUGCUAUCACUUAUAGAUGGACCCGCGCCGUAUUAGCUAGUUGGUAAGGUAACGGCUUGCCAAGGCGACGGUACGUAGCCGACCUGAGAGAUGGAUCGGCCACGCUGGGACUGAGAGACGGUCCAGACUGCUACGGGGGGACGGCGUAGGGAAUCUUCCGAGAUGGGAGAGAGCCUGACGGAGCAACGCGGCGUGGGUGGUGGAGGGUUUCGGCUCGUAAAACUCUGUUAUUAGGGAAGAACAAAUGUGUAAGUAGCUGUACACGUCUUGACGGUACCUGAUCAGAAAGCCACGGCUAACUACGUG